UCAGUGCAGGAACUGAGACAAACAGCCCCAUGGAAAAUAUCUGAUGAAGUGUUUGAGUCCUUUAAACUCAAGUCUGAGAGGAAAGUAAGGCUGAAUGAAAUCAUCCGGAAGAACUCACAACAUACUGCUCUUGUGCUUGUGAGCCUCCCUGUGCCACACAGUGACUGCCCCAGUGCACUGUACAUGGCCUGGCUGGACAGUCUGACCUGUGGCCUUCACUGCCCUGCGGUGCUGAUACGAGGAAACCAGCAGAAUGUUCUCACUUUCUACUGCCAGUAAAAUCCCAGUCUGGUGGGAUGAAGGAGUCAGAUGUCACUUUAGCUGCUGAUAGAACUGAAACAGCAGCCAAAUAUCUUUUUUUAUCUUUAGUGUGUCAACUGUUGAUUUAAUACAUUAUAUUUUAUUGUAAAGUAUUGUGAAUUUUCACAUUGCCUCUAGGAGUCGUUCGUUGGCAUGUACACUGGCUGUAAAACACAUUGAUUGUGCCUGAAAUAUUGUGACAGGUCUGCUAAUUAAAUAAUCAUUUGAUCUGUUAAAGACACUAAAUUCUGUACAAGAAAUAGUGGCUUCAU